rnacentral:rRNA from 1 species
GUCCAACUUAAAAUGAUACCAAUCCCCCAUAAUUACCCUUCCCCAUUUUAAAGCAAUUCAAAUGAGGUACAGCCCAUUUGAUACAGGAUUCAACCUUCGCUAACGGGUAAUAUUUUACUCACAUUUAAAAGUGGGCCUAAAAGCAGCCAUCUUUUAAAAAGCGUCAGAGCUUAACUAUGUGCAUCUCAAUCCACAAACCCCCAUAAACCCCUUUAAUAGUACCGAGAACCUCUAUAACACUAUAGAAAUUUUUAUGCUAAAACUAGUAACAAGAGAUAUCCCCCUCCUUAAUGCAAACAUAAGCCAGCAAGAACCAAUCUCUGGCAAUUAACAGAACUAAACAAAUGUAGCAACUCACUAGAAAACCCUACUUUUACUACACUGUUUACCUAACACAAGAGCAUUUCAAGAAAGAUUAAAAGAAAAAGAAGGAACUCGGCAAAUAUAGCUUCGCCUGUUUACCAAAAACAUCGCCUCUUGUACUAUUAUAAGAGGUCCAGCCUGCCCAGUGACUCUGUUCAACGGCCGCGGUAUCCUAACCGUGCAAAGGUAGCGUAAUCACUUGUCUUCUAAAUAAAGACCGGUAUGAAAGGCAUCACGAAGGCUAAACUGUCUCCUUUCUCUAAUCAGUGAACCUAAUCUCCCCGUGAAAAA